rnacentral:rRNA from 1 species
UACCUGCAGCUCAAGUGGUGACCGCUAUUAUUGGGCCUAAAACGUUCGUAGCCGGUUUGGUAAAUGCCUGGGUAAAUCGUGUAGCUUAACUAUACGAAUUCCGGGUAGACUGCCAAACUUGAGACCGGGAGAAGCUAGAGGUACUCCUGGGGUAGAGGUGAAAUUCUGUAAUCCUAGGGGGACCACCAGUGGCGAAGGCGUCUAGCUAGAACGGGUUUGACGGUGAGGAACGAAGCCCUGGGGCGCAAACCGGAUUAGAUACCCGGGUAGUCCAGGGUGUAAACGCUGCUUGCUUGAUGUUAGUUGGGCUCCGAGCCCAGUUAGUGUCGGAGAGAAGUUGUUAAGCAAGCUGCCUGGGAAGUACGAUCGCAAGAUUGAAACUUAAAGGAAUUGGCGGGGGAGCACAGCAACGGGUGGAGCGUGCGGUUU